rnacentral:rRNA from 1 species
GAGUUUGAUCCUGGCUCAGAACGUACGCUGGCGGCACGCCUAACACAUGCAAGUCGAACGAAGUAGCAAUACUUAGUGGCAGACGGGUGAGUAACAUGUGGGUAUCUGCCCUUUGGCCUGGAAUAACACGAGGAAACUUGUGCUAAUACCGGAUAAGUCUUUACGGAGAAAGCUUUAUGCACCAUUGGAUGAGCCCGCACUUGAUUAGUUUGUUGGUAGGGUAAUGGCCUACCAAGACUGUGAUCAAUAGCUGAUUUGAGAGGAUGAUCAGCCACAUUGGGACUGAGACACGGCCCAAACUCCUACGGGAGGCAGCAGUGGGGAAUCUUGCACAAUGGAGGAAACUCUGAUGCAGCGAUGCCGCGUGAGUGAAGAAGGCCCUUGGGUUGUAAAGCUCUUUCGUCGGGGAAGAAAAUGACUGUACCCGAAUAAGAAGGUCCGGCUAACUUCGUGCCAGCAGCCGCGGUAAUACGAAGGGACCUAGCGUAGUUCGGAAUUACUGGGCUUAAAGAGUUCGUAGGUGGUUGAAAAAGUUGGUGGUGAAAUCCCAGAGCAUAACUCUGGAACUGCCAUCAAAACUUUUCAGCUAGAGUAUGAUAGAGGAAAGCAGAAUUUCUAGUGUAGAGGUGAAAUUCGUAGAUAUUAGAAAGAAUACCAAUUGCGAAGGCAGCUUUCUGGAUCAUUACUGACGCUGAGGAA